AUAACAAGGACCAGCAGUGGCACUUUUUUUCACCGCUUUCUUGCGCUAAUGCCCUUCCAUUCUUCGCUUUCCUUAUAUUCGGCGUUCUCAGAAGACAAAUUAAAACCAAUAAAGAGCUAAAAGUAGAAAAAGAAAUUUAAAGCAAACUGGAAGGAAGGCAAACAGUUGCAGAAGUUGAGUUUAGUGUCAUAAAAUAGGGUGCGUCAAACAAGGAGACCUCUGUUUUGCUUAUCUAUUGCAGGAUAUGGAGUCUACAAGGGGAGAAGCACAUUGGGAUUUGAAGUUUUGAAACAACUGGCGCAAGACUGGAAGGUCGAAGCACAUUAUAGUCAAGAUGUAUGGAGAUGGGGCCGGGGAAAACAGUGCCUUUUAUGUAAGUCCUAUUAUGAGAAGUUUAUUACUAUGAAGGAGUCGAGAAAUGUGUAUGUUUUCACUUGGCUAGCUGUGUGUGGGGUAAUCUUGACGGUGGAGAACUUAGGGAAGAAGAAGUUUAUUUGUUCGUUGGCGCUUCAUGUGUAAAGACUCAGGGAAAGAUGUGAAUCACCUCCAUUUACAUUGUCGAAUAGCGUCUUAGUUGUGGUGGGAAAUCCUGUGAUGGUCUGGACCAGAGUGAGUAAUGCCAAGCACAGAGUGAGUAAUGCUAAGCACUGUGAAAGAAACAAUGUUUAGUUGGACCUUUAGAAGACGGAGGAGACACAGGGACCCUAAUCCUUCACAAUCAACAUUGCUAGCUGAAGGUAUAAUUUUGUUGCAUUUGUACUACUAUAAAUGUUUAUCCUUUUAGUCACACUUAAAGAGCUUUAAAUCUUGGAAAUCUAUUAUUCUGUCACUUCUUCAAUUAGUGAAGAUGCCGGAACUUUUAGUUGGCCAAUGUGUAACAAUUCUUUGACUCUUGUCUAGCUUAAGUUUGUUUUUGCGAAUUGAUAUAUGAUGCAAAACAUGCCUGUAUUUAUGUGUAUGAUUGGUCAAAGUGCUUCUGUGGUAAUUAAAUUAACGAGAUAGAGAGCUUUUUGUA